rnacentral:rRNA from 1 species
UGGGGAAUAUUGCACAAUGGGCGAAAGCCUGAUGCAGCAACGCCGCGUGCGGGAAGAAGGCCCUAGGGUUGUAAACCGCUUUCAGCAGGGAAGAAAAUGACGGUACCUGCAGAAGAAGGUGCGGCCAACUACGUGCCAGCAGCCGCGGUGACACGUAGGCACCAAGCGUUGUCCGGAUUUAUUGGGCGUAAAGAGCUCGUAGGCGGUUCAGUAAGUCGGGUGUGAAAACUCUGGGCUCAACCCAGAGACGCCACCCGAUACUGCUGUGACUUGAGUACGGUAGGGGAGUGGGGAAUUCCUGGUGUAGCGGUGAAAUGCGCAGAUAUCAGGAGGAACACCAGUGGCGAAGGCGCCACUCUGGGCCGUAACUGACGCUGAGGAGCGAAAGCGUGGGGAGCAAACGGGAUUAGAUACCCCGGUAGUCCCUGAGCGGGCUGGCAAGGCGCAU